UACGUAGGGCGCAAGCGUUAUCCGGAAUUAUUGGGCGUAAAGAGCUCGUAGGCGGUUUGUCGCGUCUGCCGUGAAAGUCCGGGGCUCAACUCCGGAUCUGCGGUGGGUACGGGCAGACUAGAGUGAUGUAGGGGAGACUGGAAUUCCUGGUGUAGCGGUGAAAUGUGCAGAUAUCAGGAGGAACACCGAUGGCGAAGGCAGGUCUCUGGGCACUAACUGACGCUGAGGAGCGAAAGCAUGGGGAGCGAACAGG
rnacentral:rRNA from 1 species